AGCAAGUUUGCUUUUCAGGAAGGCUCGGAUGCUACAAGAAUAAACUUGUAGUUGACUUCUCAGCCACAUGAUGUGGGCCUUGCAAAAUGAUCAAGCCCUUCUUUCAUUCCCUUGCUGAAAAGUAUUCCAGCGUGGUGUUCCUCAAGGCAGAUGUGGAUGAUUGUCAGGGUAGGAUGUUUGCUUCAGAGUAUGAAGAAAUGCAUGCCAUCUUCCAGUUUUUUAAAAAGGAAUGAAAGGUGGGUGGGCUCCAGUUUUUGGAGCUAAUAAGGAAAAACUUGAAGCCACCAUUAAUAAAUUGGUC
rnacentral:lncRNA from 1 species